ensembl:lncRNA
UGGAGAAGGAAAUGGCAGCCCACUCCAAUAUUCUUGCCUGGAGAAUCCCAUGGACAGAGGAGCCUUGCAGGCUACAGUCCAUGGGAUCGAAAAGAGUCGGACACGACUGAGCAACCUCACUUUCACAUUCAGUUCUAGGGACUGGGUGAGACGAUUCAACCAUCCUAACAUUGCAGCUGUUUAUUUCCCAAAUACCUUUCCCUCUAGUCUUGUCUAUAUGCACACACAGCCUUGCAUAGCCAUUCAUUAUAAGUACAGUUUUAACAAGGCUAUUUUUACCUAAACAUCAUCAGUUUAUUCUAUAUUUUAAAGCAUUUUUUCAGAAGGUUGCAUCCACAACUUACAGAGUCCCCACCUUGUGCAAGCAACCUAAACAGCAAAGAGGAUAUUAGAGCCACACAAAUAUAUGUGUUGUAUGUUUUCACGUUGGUCAUAAUAUUUUAAAAGCCUAUUCCCUAUUAAAAUAGGAGAUACCAUCUCUACUUUCCUGGACUUCUUACCCAUUCUGGCCCCAGCUACAGUUGACUUUUAUUUGUCCUUGAAUGCAUUAUCUCCUUCCUGUGACCUGUUUUGCUUCAGUGGCUACCCUGUUACCAUUUCAUUUGUGUUUGCCUUUGGCAGCCAGGAGGGGAGAAAAGAUAACAUGUGCAGGAGAGGACCAGACUCAAACCACGGCAGCUGUCCAGGAGAUCAGGCUGGAAGAAGGGAUUGUUGUUGUUUGGUCACUAAGUCAUGUCCAACUCUUUGCAACCCCAUAGACUGUAGCCCACCAGGCUCCUCCGUCCAUGGCAUUUCCCAGGCAAGAACACUGGAGGGAUCUUCCUGACCCAGGGAUCUGAACCCGCAUCUCCUGCAUUGGCGGGACUGUUUACCACUGAGUCACCAGGGACGCCUCCCGAAGAAAGAGGGGAAACAGAGAUAUUCAUGGAGUGCCUGGUUUGCGUGAGAGCCUGUGUUGGGCUCUUUGCUUACAUGACCUCAACGUAGGAUGUUCACAAGGAAGUGCUUCCUCAUAUCAUCCUAGGAGUUCGUGGGAGAGCAGGGCAAAUGAUCAUUCUCGUUUUGUAGAUGAGGAAACCGAGGUUUCUCAUGACAGGGUGAGGAAUUGUAGCCCAUCUGACCUUAUGCUCUUGGUUCCCUACACCGUGUCCCAAAUGUUAGCCUCUGUCUUCUCCUGCCCUCAUUCUAGCGUGGUUCACAGGACACUUGCCCAGUCUGCCCACCAUGACUGUUUAAUAAAUAAGGACUGAGGAAUGCAAAUUAGAAAAGCAGUGCAAACAAAGCCACAAAGCUAAAUUCUAC